rnacentral:lncRNA from 1 species
UUUCUGAAAAUUACAAUUUGGAACCCUUAAGUUUCUGUUAUUACCUUUUUUAUCCUACAAACUUUUCAAAAUUAUAGAUUAAACUCUAUAUUUGAAAAUUAGAUGUUGACCACGGUUUUUUUUCAAAAAUAUAAAUUUCUCAUAUUUUGAAUUUACUAUUUUACCGAAUAUAUUGUUGAAACUUACACGUUUUGGUUUUUAUUUGUAGCUUUCAAAUAUUUUGAAAAAUGCUAAUCUGAAUGACAAGGUGGGAGGACGUGGUGGCUUGUUGCUAACACACAACAACUGGUGGGAGUACCACUUCGGCGUACUCACCUGUAGUGCCCUACUGUGACUGUACAUGGGGAGAGACCCGAAAUUCAGUGGCCUAGACUUCAUUAUUUGCAGCAGAAAUGUUUGUUUUCUUGACCGACUGUCUAUGGGCUUGCAAAAUAUUUGCAAGAGGAGGCUCUUACAACUAUCCGAAGGCGGAGCAAGGAUCCUACAACCGUGGCAGCGGUGCAAGCAUGGAGGCCCGGGGACUUCCUUGAAAGAUACUAUAUUCUGAACGGUCUUGAAAGACGUUGUACAAUGUGUACAUCCGCUGCCAUACGACAAAAUUGUUGUGGAUUCACUUGACACAGAAGUACAAGGUUGAAGAUGGCCAGGUGCCAGAAAUUUUCGAUUGCCGGUUUCUCUUGGACUUUCAAGAUGUUGAUUCUAAUAAGUCAGUGGCCCAAGUGUCAAGACUUCCAAUUAUCCUUCAUGAACUAGACGCCGAAGGGGAUGGCUCUCGUUGAAGAAUUUCAUGGUGAUAAUUGAGAAUUGCCACCUUCAUGGAAGUACCUUUCAAAUUAUUUGAAGCACAAGCGAAAGGGCAAUGAUUUUCGAGGAUCUUAUAGUCCCUUGAGAAUGAGAGGACAACCCUUGAAUGACAGAAAAGGGGGGCUACCACAUGGAGUAAAAAGCCAAUGGUGGUGGAACACAGUCAUAGAAUGGUAACCAGAACAAGAAGGAAGCUCAGUGGACCAGGCAGAGUUCGGUGGCAAUUCAAAUCCGAAAAAUUCGAUGGAAAUUGCUAUACUUUAGCAGCCUGGACACGGGCAAGACUGCACAAGCCGAGCUCCUCAGAGGAAUUUCAAGAAAAAAAAGCAGGCCAGCUAAGAGCUCACUUGCUGAAGUAAGCAGUCACAAUGACAUUUUAGCAGUUAGACUUGAGACCUAUGUGCUGUUUGUUGUCUGAAAUUAACUUGGUGUGUAGGCAAACGCCAGGCAGUGGUUGAUGGACACUAGCAGCUCACGCCAUGUAUGCUGUGCCAAAGAAUUAUUCUCUUCUUUCAAGGAGACAUCGAAUGGUUACAAUCUACAUGGGGAAUUCUUCAGUUCCUAGGUAUGGGUCAAGGGACGUCAUACUGAAGAUGACGUCUGAGAAACAAACUCACAUCUAAACAAUGUCCUGUAUGUGCCAGACCAAUUAGAAAGAAUCUAGUGUCUGGAUCAUUGUUAUUAAGGCAUGGGUUUAAGUUAGUUUUUUGAGUCAUAACAACCUGUAAUGCUUAAGAAUGGGGGUUGCACAUUGGGAAGAGUUAUGUUUCUGAUGGCUGUUACGCUCAUUGUGUUUGUCCCAUGUUCAAAAAUGAAUAAGAAAUGCUACUCCUUCUGCUUACGUUUGUCUUGAGUCCUUCUUCUUUCUGGCACGAAAGAUAAGGACAUGUGAUCUAUGAAACAUUAAGAAACUAGUUAAUUGAGCUUAUUACCUAAAUGUGAUAUAGAUCCUAACAACAAAUGGAAUUUUUGUGUGAAGCAAAAUAAAAGUUCCGAGUUUCAUUUAAAAAUAAAUUGAAAGAUCGACUGAACCUCUAGAUUAAUUCACAGCGAUUUGUGAUUUAAAACUGAGUCCAGACUAGAGGAGAAAAGGUUUUUGUGAACCUUUAUUGAUGACGUACUAGAUAUCAGUUUAUGUGUACCUCCCCCCAAAAAAAUUUUAGAGAAGCAAGAUGGGCGUUGGAGAUUUUUUAAAAAAAUCUUCAAAUUGAAGGUGAAAAUCAUUAAGCAAAAGAUUAAGAUUUUGAGAAGUGAUAGGGUGGGUGAAUAUGAAUCACCUUUUGGGUGAAUUCUGUGCUGUAACAUGAAAUUAUUCAUCAACUCCUGCUCCUUAUUCUCCCACAAUCAAACGGUAUUGCUGAACGCAAGAAACCGUACAUUGAAAAAGAUGAUGAAUGCUUUAUUGAUUAGUUCUGGACUACCACAGAACUUGUGGGGGGAAGCGUUCUGACUGCUAUUACUUAUUACAUAAGUACCCAUAAAAAAUUAGAGAAAACACCUUAUGAGUUAUGGAAAGAAAGAGUCCUUCCUAUAAUCUAAAAGGUGUGGGGGGUGUCUUUGCAAAGUAAUGGUUCCUACCCGCAAAGAAAGUCAGAAUUGGGCCAAAGACAGUGGAUUUUGUUUUUCAUUAGUAUCCCCCGCCCAUAACAGUAUGCAUAUAGGUUUCUUGUGCUAAGUCAGAAAUACUUGACAUUCAUGAAAACACAUGAUUGAUUCACGGAAUGCAAGUUUCGUUGAAACUUAUUUCCGUACAAGAUUCACAAGAAUCAAAGUCUUUAAAAAGAACACUUGAUAAAAUGUGGGUCAAAGAUCCUAGAAGAGGACAAUGAAGAUGUACCUAGACAAGCAAGAGGGCGAGAACGUCUAACAUCUUUUGUCCUGACUUUUUUGACAUUUUUGUUAGAAAGUGAGCCUCAAACUUUAAAGAGCAAUGUCUUAUCCUGAACACCUCAAUGGAAAGAGGCGUGAAUAGUGAGAAUUGAGUCCAUUCUUCAAAACCACACUUGGGGAAUUGGUAUAUUCUUCCUCCGACUACAAACCCCUUGGGAUCUAAUUGGAUAUUCCAGAGGAAGAUGAAAGCGGUGGAUCCUUGAUAAAUACAAGGCGAGAACUUGUGGUCAAAGAAUAUAAUGACAAAGAGGGUCCUUGAUUACUUUGCACCUAUUCCCUAUAACAAGGAUAACAUCUAUAGAAUGUUAAUAGCUAUAACAAGCCAUUAAUAAUCUAGAAAUUUAUCAACUGGAUGUUUAAAAACUGCCUUUCUAAAUGGGGAUUUCGAAGAAUAAUUUCAUUGAGCAACCGGAAGGUUUUGUAGCUCCCUGGAAGAAAAGCAAGUGUGCAAGUUGUCAAAAUCCUUGUAUGGAUUGAAACAAGCACCAAAACAUGGCUGAAAAUUGAUAAUGCAAUGAUGUUCAAAUGGAUUAAAUUUAAUGAAUGUGAUAAGUGUGUCUAUGUAAAGACACUGAAAAGAAUAUGCCCAUUGUUGCCUAUUGGUAGAUGAUAUGUUUUUUUUUUUCAUCAUUUGUAGUAGUGCUGACAUGAUCAAGGCUACCAGAACAUUCGUGACCUCCAAUUUGAUAUAAAAGACUUAGGGGUUUGUAGCUGUUAUACUAGGGAUUAAGAUCACUAGAAACAUUUGGAGGACUAUCUUGUCACAAUCGGCAUUCAUAUUGAGAAAAUUCUGAUAAAUUUGACAAGAAUAGUGAUGUGUAGCAAAAACAAACCUGUGGAUGUCAACUACACUCACUAAGAAUACUGUAGAAUGUGUAUCUCUCCAUUUGUAGUAUUCUCCAGAUCAUUGGCAUUUUAAUGUAUUUGAUGAACUGCACGAGACCUGACAUUGCAUACUCAGUUAGCAAACUGAGUAGAUUACAAAUAAUCCGGGGGAAGAUCAUGGAAGCUAUCGUUGAGUACUUAGGUAUCUCUGAUACACAAAAGAUUAUGAUUGCAUUACUAAUAUCCUGCUGUGGUGGAAGGAUAUUGUGAUGCAAACUGGAUAUCAGAUAUUACUAUUCAAAAUCAAAUCCACAGUGGAUAUGUCUUUACUAUGGUAGUGUCUGCGUGUCAUGGAAAUCUUCUAAACAAACGUGUAUUGCUAGAUUCCACAAUGGAAGCUGAGUUCAUUGCCUUGGAUAAAGCAGGAGAAGAACAGAGUGGCUUCGUAAUUUCUUAGAGAUCUUCCAAAUUGGUCAAAACCUGUGGCCCUCAAUAUGUAUACAUUUGAUAGUCCAAUCAGCAAUUGGAAGGGCACAGAGUAAGACUGUAUAACGGUAAGUCUAUACAUACUCGUCGUAGACAUAAUACCGUGAAGCAACUGCUCACAAAAUGGAGUUAUCUCUAUAGACUAUGUGAAGUCUAAAGAUAAUAUCGGCGGAUUCCGCUAGACCAAAGGUUAACAAGAGAGCAGGUUUGCAAAUCAUCGAGGGGGAUGGGAUUAGAAGCCUAUGUCAAAAGUAGUCAUAGUGGAUACCCUACCCUAGUUGACUGGAGAUCCUAAAUCUAGGUUCAAAGGGAUAACUAACUAUGGUGAAAUUAAAAAGAGCACUGAAGAGACAUUAUCUCUUAGUACCCCCAUUCCUUAUGAAUACAUAGUGAUGUCUGUAUUUAAGAAGGAUAAGCUUUCUUUAUGCUCUUAUGUCUUGAAAUUUCAAGCUGAGUAUGCAGAAUACUCGUGAUAGAAUUCACCUAUGUGAGUAUGAUGUGAGGGCCGCAUCAAUGAGAAUUUUUCAAGGCUGAAAUUGCUUUAAACACUCAUAGAACCAAGGCGGUGUCCAAGUCCAAAACGACACAAUCGGUGAGAACUAAUACAAGUGUUUGGAGAAAUCUGUGUGAUGCCUAUUGUCUUGGUUUUACACAAGACGGUAGAACAGUUCCAAGACCUCGCGUUCACUGUUUCACUAGUAUACUCGAUAGAUUUUCCACAAAAGAAGUUUCAAGGCCGAAAGCUACCUGUUCUUUACACAAGGAAGUACUGUUGUGCUUUCUUCUGAGCCCAGUGAGAGUAAUUUCCGGCCAAUAUCAUCAUGGUGGGGGAUUGUUGGAAAUUUUAAAUUUUGAAUAAAAAAUUUUGAAUUUUGAAUGGUAUAUUUUCCAGUAAAGUGGUGAUAAUGCGAGUUCAAAAGUAUUAUGGCUGCCAUUUCACCAACAUAUUGCAUCAAUUCUUGCCAAUGAAUUAGAAGGCUCCCCACUCCUAUAUA